GCUCUGGCUUGUAUUCCAGGCACUUGGCAGAUAGUUUGUGCUAAGUGGUGAGUUCUAUAUCAGCCUGAGGUACUCAGCAUUAAAAAAAAAAAACAAAACAAAAAAAAACAAAAAAAAAAACAGAGCUGUCAGGGUUGGUGGUAUUUAGAGGAACAAUAUAGUGGCAGGAACAUGUCUUGGCGAAAUCCCCAUCCUGGCAGGCAGGAGGAAGGAUCAGAGGAGAGUAGAUUGAGGACUUAGAAUAACCGUCAAAGGCACACAUCCAGUGGCAUACAUCCUCCAGCUAGGCCUCAUCUCCCAAAGCAUCCACAACAUCCCAAAAGAGCCCCAGUAGCUGGAGAGCAAAUGUUCCGAUCGUGAGCCAAUACGGGAUAUUUCAUUCACACCAUAAACAUUGUGUAAAGCUGUAAAUUCCAGGCCAAGACCUUUGUCUGUUUGUUUUUUUCCUUUUCUUCUUUUCUACUUGAUAGGUAAUGGAUAACUUGUGAACAUUUAUGAGCUGCUGCUUAGGUGUGGCUGGAGUUGUCAGUUAAUAUGAUGACAGUCUUGGGUCAGCGCAAGGAAAAUCUAGAGGACAGGAACCUGUGGUAUGAGCCAUUAUGCUCUAAUACUACAGACUCCAAGGAUGAGGACAGAAAGCGAGGCUACAGGGCUUCACAUAGGGCACUGCAGAGAGCCAAGGGAGAAUUAGUUGUAAGGUCUAGACCCAGGGACAGACAGAGGGUUAGGAUUGCUUGGUGUAAGGAAAACGUCUAUGUUUGUGGUACUGUAAAGUUAUGUAUUAUAUACACAAGGACAUGCGAAGUGAGUUAAGCAUAAGUGGUUGUAUGUGUUUUGCCCACAUGUAUGUUUGCACAAUACAUGUGCUUGGUAUACAUGGAAGUCAAAGGAGAGCAUCCACUAAGCUGGAAGUGGAGUUAUAAGUGGUUGUGGGUUCUGGGAAUAGAAACCUCAUCCUCCAAGAAAUCGCAACAAGUACUCUUAACUGCUGAGCUAUCUCUCCAGCCCCUGUUGUCAGCUGUGUUGUCACAGGUCUUUAAUCCUACCUAGCACUCCAGAGGCAGAGGCAGGAAGGUCUAGUAUAGGAGCAAGACCUGUCGGGCAGGAAAUCCAAGAUUAGGGAGUGUCCUAGGGUUUUGUUGCUGUGAAGAGACACUGUGACCAGGACAACUCUUAUGAAAAGAAAACAUUUUCCUGGGGCGAGUUUAUAGUUUCAGAGUUCCAAAGCCAGCCUAGUCAACAUAACAAGUUCCAGGUCAACCAGGUCAAUACAAUCU
rnacentral:lncRNA from 1 species